rnacentral:lncRNA from 1 species
AACGGAAAGAACGUAAAGAACCUCCACAGAAACAGAAACAUACAACAGAAAUUUAAGUGACAGGUCAAGAACAACUACGGAAAUAACGGAAAGAACGGAAAGAACGGAAAAUAGCCACCGAAAGACAUAAACAUACGGCAGAAAAUUAGGUGACAGGUCAAGAACAACAAUGGAAAGAACGGAAAGAACGGAAAGAACCUCCAGAGAGACAGAAACAUACGGCAAAAACUUAGGUGACAGGUCAAGAACAACUACGGAAAGAACGGAAAGAACGGAAAUAACCUCCACAGAGCGAGAAACAUAUGGCAGAAAAUUAGGUGACAGGUCAAGAACAACAACGGAAAUAACGGAAACAACGGAAAUAACAGAAAGAACGGAAAUAAUAACGGUAAAAACGAAAAUAACCUUUAGAGAUACAGAAACAUACGUCAGACAAUUUGGUGACAGAUCAAGAACAACAACGGAAAUAACUUAAAUAACGGAAAUAACGGAAAUAACCUCCACAGAGACAGAAACAUUCGGCAGAAAAUUAGGUGACAGGUCAAGAACCACAACUGAAAUAAUGGAAAUAACGGAAAUAACGGAAAAAACGGAAAUAAUAACGGUAUUAACGGAGAUAAUCUCCAGAGAGACAGAAAGAUACGUCAGACAAUUUGGUGACAGAUCAAGAACAACAACGGUAAUAACUGAAAUAACGGAAAUAACGGAAAUAACCUCGACAGAGACAGAAACUUAGGGCAGAAAAUUAGGUGACAGGUCAA